UACGUAGGGGCAAGCGUUGUCCGGAAUUAUUGGGCGUAAAGAGCGCGUAGGCGGUCCGAUAAGUCGGCUGUGAAAGUCAGGGGCUCAACCCUUGAAAGCCGGCCGAUACUGUCGGACUAGAGUCCGGAAGAGGCAAGUGGAAUUCCCGGUGUAGCGGUGAAAUGCGCAGAUAUCGGGAGGAACACCAAUGGCGAAGGCAGCUUGCUGGGACGGUACUGACGCUGAGGCGCGAAAGCGUGGGGAGCAA
rnacentral:rRNA from 1 species